GGGCCUGCUCAGUGAUAUUUUUUAACAGCUGCGGUGUUAUAACUGUACUAAGGUAGCAUAAUAAUUUGCCUUAUAAAUUAGGGCUAGAAUGAAUGGUUUGACGAGAGUUAUACUGUCUCUAUUUUAAUUGUUAGAAGUUAAUUUUUAUAGUGAAAAAGCUUGGAUGGUUUAAAGGGACGAGAAGACCCUGUUGAGCUUAAUAUAUAUAUAUAUAUAUAUAUAUAUAUAUAUAUAUUUGGUUGGGGUGAUCAAGGAAUAAAAUGUAAAUAGUUUAACUUCCUUAAAAAUUUUUUUUUGUUAGGAUAAUAAACCAAUUUAUUGCUUUAAUGAUAAGUUACCAUAGGGAUAACAGCGUAAUUUUUUUAGAGAGUUCUUAUUGAAAAAAAAGAUUGCGACCUCGAUGUUGGAUUAAAAUAACCAUUAGGUGUAGAUGCUUUAU
rnacentral:rRNA from 1 species